GGAGAGGUGCUCGAGUGGUUGAAGAGGCACGCCUGGAAAGCGUGUAUACCCCUAAAGGGUAUCGGGGGUUCGAAUCCCCCUCUCUCCG
rnacentral:tRNA from 12 species